rnacentral:lncRNA from 1 species
AAACUACACAACCUUCACAGUCUUAUCUCUUCUUUUUCUGAUGUUUUUGAUGACUAAUGGACUUUUGUUCUUCCUCUAUGGUCCAUCAUGUUCACAAAAGAGCUCUCAGAGCAAUGAUGACGCUGGCAGCCAAACAGAAGUGCAAAGAGCAGACCUUUCCACAUUAGAACAGGGCCACCCAGACGUGCACGGAGGAGGCAGGAGAGUAACACCAAACCACCCAGGGACCACGAGAGCACCUGAAAGGGACGCACGCCCGCGCAGAGGCACCCAACACACCCCAGCAAGCCACCCAGGUCAAGGCCACCCCACAAGCCCAUGGAGGUCCAGGACUACAGUUAGAUCAGUGUGUUAGUAAAGAGUGGUGCUGGCAGUCGCUUGCAGGCUAGAUCAUCAGGCUAAAAACGAAAAAUCAAGAUUCAAUGCAAUUAGACCUGUAUAUAUUGUUGAAACAACAACAAAAAGAGGCUUUAAAACUGUAAGUCUGUACCGUACUACACAAUGUUUUCAUCUGGUGGCUCUGUUUAGGGAAAAAGAACUACGCUUGUCACGCUAUUGUCGUCAGGUCCGCUCAUCGUUUGAGUGGUUUGCGUGUUUGUCCCGCUCCGCUCAGCCACCAGAACUCAAUCGUCUGGUGAGCACUUCCAGAUUAAUCACCUUUAUGAAAAAUACAAGGAGAUUAAGAUAGAUUCCAGGCUAGCCCACUCAUGUCUUUUGCACCAAGGCGAGGCAAAUUUAUUUGUAUAGCGCAUUUCAUACACAAGGCAACCC